GUUAUGGAGGGGGGAUGGGAAGAAGAAAAGCAAGUCGACGCAGCACAUUUUCUUUAAAGAAGGGGAGGGUGUAUGGAGGCAAAACUAUAUAAUUUUUUUUCUUUUUUUUUUUUUUUUUAAGGAAAUGUAUGUUGAUCUUCUGAAGCUGAAUCCUCAGGCAUUUGCGGCCAGUCGUUGCAGCCUGGUCCAGCUCUGGCCCCUGGAUGGGCAUCGCUCACGGCAGAGCUGCUGCAGCACACCCGAGGUCUGAGCCCGUGGAUUCAGCAUGCAGAGCCCUCAUCUCCAGCAGCCAGGUGGAACAGACCGCUGGGAAAAGGGAGUUUGGUGUGUGAUGGCAAGAUUCACCAGUGCCCCUUCCACCACUGCAUAUCAGCCUGGAUGUAGUCACCUUGUCAGGAGUGUAAAAUUUACAGCAGAAAUUACUUUAAGACUGGAAAAGCUCUUACUUAACUGAACCAUCAUUCAAAAUGCAUUAUGAAAGUCGCCAAGAAGUUUUCCAUCUCACUGUCUGCAGGACUCCUGCAGGUCUU